UUGAAACACCAGUUCUCAUACAAUCACCAAAGUUAAGCAAUGUUGAGCCUGGUCAGUACCUAAAUAGGUAACCGCUUGGGAAUACCAGGUGGUGUA